CAAGGACAGAAAACCAAACACCACAUGUUCUCACUCAUAGGUGGGAAUUGAACAAUGGGAACACUUGGACACAGGGAGGGGAACAUCACACACCAGGGCCUGUCAUGGGGUGGGGGCCUGGGGGAGGGAUAGCAUUAGGAGAAAUACCCAAUGUAAAUGACGAGUUAAUGGGUGCAGCAAACCAAAUACAUAUAUACUUAUGUAACAAACCUGCACGUUGUGCACAUUUACCCUAGAACUUAAAGUAUAAUAAUAAAAAAUUCAAAAAAGAGAGAGGCCUCAGGAGAAGCCACAUCUGUGAACACCUUGAUCUUGGACAAUAAAUGUCAGUAAGUUUUAAAAACUUGAAUUUAUGCAGAGCAUAUUCUUAGACCACACAGAUGACAUUAAAUAACAAAACCAAAUUCUAGCAAAAAGUUAUCUGGAAAAUCCCCUAAUAUUUGGGAAUUAACCUAAGAAUUAACGAAAAACAGCAAAGGAAAUCAGAAAACAUUUUGAGCAGAAUGACAAUGGAAACAGAACAUAUGAAAAUUUACGGGAUGCAGUUAAAGCAGUGCAUACAAUGAAGCUGAUAAUGUUAAGUGCUUAUGUUAGUAAAGAGGAAAUGUCUUAAAUCAGUUAUGUAGAUUUCCACCUUGAAAAGCUAAAAAAACAUUGACCAGGCAUGGUGGCUCACACCUGUAAUCCCAGAAAUUUGGGAGGCCAAGGUGGACGAAUCACUUGAAGUCAGGAGUUCUAGACCAGCCUGCCCAACAUGAUGAAACCUGUCUCUACUAAAAAUACAAAAAUUAGCCAGGUGUGGUGGUGGGCGCCUGUAGUCCCAGCUACUCAGGAGGCUGAGGCAGAAGAAUUGCUUGAACUGGGAGGCGGAGGUUGCAGUAAGCCAAGACCAUGCCACUGCACUCCAACCUGGAAUACAGAAUGAGAUUCUGUCUCAAAAAAAGAAAAGAAAAGAAAAGCUAGGAAAAGCAGAGCAAAUUAAACCUGAAGUAAAUAAUAAAGAAUGGAAAUCAAUAAAAUAGGAAAAAAGUGUGAUCAAUAAAAUUGAUAAACUUCUAGCUAGUCUGAUUCAGAAAAAACACAAAUGACCAGUUUCAGAAAUGAAAGGGAAUUCUUUCACUACAAGUACUACAGACAUGCAAGGAUAAUAAAGGAAUAUUUAAACAAGUUUAUGCUAAUAAAUUUGACAAGUUAAAAUGGAAGAUUGUGGCCAGGUGCAGUGGCUCACGCCUGUAAUCCCAGCACUUUGUGGGAGGAUUGCAGGAGUUCAAGACUAGUCUGAGCAACAUGGUGCCAAGACCAGCUCAGUCAUGGAGACCUAACGAAGCGGCACUAGAGGAAUUAAGACAAAGACACAGGAAUACAGUAUAAAGUGGGGAUUAGGGGGCUGACAGCCUUCAGAGCUGAGAGCCACAAACAGAGCUUGACCCACACAUUUAUUGACAGAAAGCCAGUGAUAAGCAUUGCUUCUAUAGAUUGUAGAUUAGCUAAAAGCAUUCUUUAUGGGAAACAAAGCAAUCUCAGUGAGGAGCAGAGAAACAGGCUCUGGCUGAUUAUCUGUAGCAAAAACAUGCUGUCAAGCCACAGGCCUUUCCUGCUAUCGUUUGUGGUUUGAGCAGUUUUUUGCUCCGGGCGGGGCCAGGUGUUCCUUGCCCUGCUCUAGUAAACCAACAACUUUUAGCAGUGUGCAUGACAGCCAUCAUGAGCAUGUCCCAUUGCUGCAGAAAUCCUGUUUAUGGCCAGUUUCUUUAAGGUCUGUUUAUGACAGGGUUAGGGAUUGCUACCAACGUGUCCCACCUUUCUGUUUUUGCAAAGUGAUAAAGGCAUAGGCAGCUUUGUCACAGUAGGCUACUUCUCGCAGGAUUCGCGAUCCACAUUUGCAGAUGUACAAAUGACCAAUUUCAUUUGUAUUUCAAUUUGAUAUACAAAGACAAACAACACCAAUUAAAAGCACAGUCAUCAUUCAAAUUGCAGAGCCUCCAAGUGUCUUGAUCCAUUUUAAUGGGUUAAUAGCUGCUAAUCCAUCUGAAGCGCCUUCAAGCACUUCAGUUCCUGGCAUUAGUGUCAGAUGUGCCAGAGAAGAUUGAAAUAUUUGUUCCUUCAGUUGCAUAAUAUCUAAAGUAAAUUUCCAGUAUGACCUUUCAAAUGUUUCUUAACUCUUUCCCACUCAUGCUGUCUUUCAUUAUACAGAUGAGGAGUAAUGCAAAAAUCAGAAGUAUUCCAAUCACAUUGUAACUGCAUUCUAUAUUCUAGACUAACUACUCAAUCUCCUAGCCACAUUACAGAUUGUUGGAGAUAAUUGAUUUGAUUAGCUAGUUUCUGGUCUAUAUUAGUUUGGGAAUUCCACAGCAAAGUAGAAUUUUUCUGCCAAUUAUUUACAUAGUCUGCUGUUUGUACUGUGAAAUGCAAAGCAACUCCAGCUGCCGCGGCAGUAGCUGUGACAGCAAUCAAUCCCAUAAUGAUUAAAAUUAAAGUAGCAAUGAAACACUGAGAGCAUCUCAGAAUCUUUUG
rnacentral:lncRNA from 1 species